rnacentral:lncRNA from 1 species
CCAAAUCCCAUUUUUCUCCCCAGUUUAUGACCCAAAUCCCAUUUUGAUCCCAAUUCCACAACUCAAAUCGUAGCAAAUCCCAUUUUAUCCCCAGUUUAAGACCCAAAUCCCAACAAAUCCCAUUUUUCUCCCCAAUUCCACAACCCAAAUCCCACCAAAUCCUAUUUUUAUCCCCAGUUUAUGACCCAAAUCCCACCAAAACCCAUUUCUCCCGAAUUCCAUGACCCAAAUCCCAACAAAUCCCAUUUUUCUCUCCAAUUACACCACCCAAAUCCCAUUUUCUCCCCAAUUCCAUGACCCAAAUCCCACCAAAUCCCAUUUUAUCCCCAGUUUAAGCCUCAAAUCCCACCAAAUCCCAUUUUUCUGCUCAGUUUAUGACCCAAAUCCCAACAAAUCCCAUUUUUAUCCCCAGUUUAUGACACAAAUCCUACAAAAUCCCAAUUAUAUCCUCAGUUUAUGGCACUCGAUGAUGGGUUGGGAGGACCUUUAGGAUCACAGAUCUGUGAGAUCCUACAGUGGAUGGGGUGGAGGGGACCUUUAAGAUCAUACCAGAAUGGGAUCCCAAAAGAGUUGGGUUUUAUGGACGUGAAAGACCAUAGAACUGUGGGAUCCUACAAUGGUUGGGAUGGAGAGGACCUUUAGGAUCAUGGAACCAUGAGAUCCCACAAGGGUUGGGGUGGAAGGAAUCUCAAAGACCAUAACACCACAGGAUCCUACAAGGGUUGGGAUGGGAGGACCUUUAGGAUCAUGGAACCACGGGAUCCUACAAUGGUUGGGGUGGAGAGGACCUUUAGGACCGUGGCUGCGUGGGAUCCCACAAGGUUAGGGUUGUAGGGAUCUCAAAGACCACAGAACUGUAGGAUCCUACAACGGUUGGGAUGGAGAGGACCUGUAGGAUCGUGGAACCACGGGAUCCUAUAAUGGUCGGGGUGGAAGGGACCUUAAAGAUCAUAACACCAAUAGAUCCUACAAGGGUUGGGAUGGGAGGACCUUUUGGAUCGUGGCACUGUGGGAUCCCACAAGGGUUGGGUUUUAAAGACCAUACAACCAUGAGAUCCUACAGCGCUGUGCAAAGCUGUGAUGUGGAUUUUGGGUGAAAUAAAACCCAAAUUUGGGGGGAGAUU